CAUUAACUAAACCGUACGCGGCGCUCCCCUUAGCCGGGGGGUGUCGCGGACCGUUCAAACCCUCCGUGUACCAAUACCUCUGUUGCUUCCCGCUCGAGCUUCGGCCCGCGGCGGGGAGGUCUACCUAAACUCUUUUGUCUCAAUGCAGUCUGUAGAUGGCGGCUAGUCCGCGAAAAUUUAAAAGUUAAAACUUUCAACAACGGAUCUCUUGGUUCUCGCAUCGAUGAAGAACGCAGCGAAAUGCGAUAAGUAGUGUGAAUUGCAGAAUUCAGUGAAUCAUCGAAUCUUUGAACGCACAUUGCGCCCUCUGGUAUUCCGGAGGGCAUGCCUGUCCGAGCGUCGUCAAACCCCCUCGAGCAGCCUUUGCUGCUUGGUCUUGGCCGGUGAUCGCGUCCCCUCGGGGAGGUGUUCACGGCUGAAAGGGAUCUGGCGGAGAGCCUGGUCUCCACGGUUGUAGUAAGCUUAUGCCUAUCUUCCGCGUGAGUGACCAGUUAUCCAGCCGUCAACCUCACUUCUUCUGGUUGACCUCG
rnacentral:misc_RNA from 1 species